rnacentral:piRNA from 1 species
UCUCAGGACCUAUUUGAGGCAGACGUGAGA